GACGCUAGGCCGGCACUGCCUAGGUGGGCCGGGCGGUGCGAGGGUCGCCUUUCAGCCUUUACCUCUACCCACUGAAAUGGAGUAGGUCGGUGAGCGCCGAUCUGCUGGAGAAUCUCAUUAUCCCAUCGGCGCUCUGCCUGCUCCUGGCCUCCAAGCCUCUGAAGCCCCUCGGGUUUCAGCUGCCGGCUACCCUCGAGCCCGUGGUGCCCACGAGAGAGGCGACUUUACGUCAGCGGCCCUGGGCUGAGAUUUGAGAACGCGACCAAGUGGAGAAUGUUGGAGCCAGAUUUUAAAAUCCUUGUCUUCCUUCUGCGUGCUACUUGAUCUAAAUGAGAUACGGCAAAGUCACAGAACCUGUUUUUAUGUUUUUGCCUGAUUCAUACGGGCUUCUCCGGUGAAGAUGGGCCUGAAGUAACGCUUGGGUUGCUUCUGACGUUAUAACUCAUCCUGUAGCUGCAGCAACCGUGGUCCUUGCAACCUCAUAAAAAUGUUGCCAGCAUUGUUUCGAUAGUGCUGCUUAAUUCUUGGAAGGUUCUUCGGACUUCACACAUUCCAGCAGUAGCUCUCUCAGCUCCUGUCCUGCACAGCUUUGAAGUGCUGGUGAUGUCAUUGAACUCUUAAGUGCAAGAUGAAACAAGUCUUUCUGGGGUUCUAAGUAGGACACAGCCCUGGUGAUGGCUUUCUGAGGAUGACACGAUGGAGGCUUCUCCAAUAGCUCUAAAACUGCGGUGUGGAAAACAUUCGGCAGCCUCAAAGAGCGGUCUUGUUGACCCCAACUAUAUCAUUUUUCAUCAAAAUCAUUCUUGAAUGACCAGGCAACACUCUUUGAAAAUUGGAGGCCAUUUGCAGCUGCUCUCUGUUGAGGAAAGUGAAUAAUAGGGUGCCCUCAAGGAAUUGCAAAGGUAUCACUCAACAGAAACUUUCGUGUCUGAAGAAAACUAGAUCAUUUUAUCAUGGUAGGCAUGCUGAUAUGUUUGCUUUAAUAAAAUGCCAUAUUUCUGCCUUUAAUCUCUUGUCAACCCGCUAUUAAAAAGCCCCAAAGUGCAUGUGUGCAGCGCAUGUAAACACUUGUGGUUUUGAGGUUACCACAGAACAUACUAAUAAAGCAUGUAAUUUGUGUUUUGUGC
rnacentral:lncRNA from 1 species